rnacentral:misc_RNA from 1 species
GAUGAAGAACGCAGCGAAAUGCGAUAAGUAAUGUGAAUUGCAGAAUUCAGUGAAUCAUCGAAUCUUUGAACGCACAUUGCGCCCCCUGGUAUUCCGGGGGGCAUGCCUGUCCGAGCGUCAUUACAACCCUCAAGCUCAGCUUGGUGUUGGGCCCCGCCGCCCCGGCGGGCCCUAAAGUCAGUGGCGGUGCCGUCCGGCUCCGAGCGUAGUAAUUCUUCUCGCUCUGGAGGUCCGGUCGUGUGCUCGCCAGCAACCCCCAAUUUUUUUCAGGUUGACCUCGGAGCAGGUAGGGAUACCCGCUGAACUUAAGCAUAUCAAUAAGCGGAGGA